GCCCCGNUGCAAGCGUUAAUCGGAAUUACUGGGCGUAAAGCGCACGCAGGCGGUUGGAUAAGUUAGAUGUGAAAGCCCCGGGCUCAACCUGGGAAUUGCAUUUAAAACUGUCCAGCUAGAGUCUUGUAGAGGGGGGUAGAAUUCCAGGUGUAGCGGUGAAAUGCGUAGAGAUCUGGAGGAAUACCGGUGGCGAAGGCGGCCCCCUGGACAAAGACUGACGCUCAGGUGCGAAAGCGUGGGGAGCAAACAGGAUUAGAUACCCUGGUAGUCCACGCCGUAAACGAUGUCGAUUUGGAGGCUGUGUCCUUGAGACGUGGCUUCCGGAGCUAACGCGUUAAAUCGACCGCCUGGGGAGUACGGCCGCAAGGUUA
rnacentral:rRNA from 1 species